UACGAAGGGGGCUAGCGUUGUUCGGAAUUACUGGGCGUAAAGCGCACGUAGGCGGACUUUUAAGUCAGGGGUGAAAUCCCGGGGCUCAACCCCGGAACUGCCUUUGAUACUGCAAGUCUAGAGGUCGAGAGAGGUGAGUGGAAUUCCGAGUGUAGAGGUGAAAUUCGUAGAUAUUCGGAGGAACACCAGUGGCGAAGGCGGCUCACUGGCUCGAUACUGACGCUGAGGUGCGAAAGCGUGGGGAGCAAACAGG
rnacentral:rRNA from 1 species